GAUGAACGCUGGCGGCGUGCCUAAUACAUGCAAGUCGAGCGAACAGAUGCGGCGCUUGCUCCUCUCCCGUUAGCGGCGGGCGGGUGAGUCACACGUGGAUACCCUCCCUAUAAGACUGAGAUCACUUCGGGAAACCGGAUCUAAUACCGGAUAAUAUAUUGAACCACAUGGUUCAAUGGUGAAAUACGGUUUUGCUGUCACUAAUAGAUGGAUCCCCGCGGCAUUAGCUAGUUGGUAGUGUAAUGGCCUACCAAGGCAAGGAUGCGUGGCCGACCUGAGAGGGGGAUCGGCCACACGGGAACGUAGACACGGACCAGAGUCCUACGGGACGGAGCAGUAGGGAAUGGUAGGCAACGGGGGAAAGUCUGACGCAGCAACGCCGCGCGAGUGACGAAGGUCUUCGGAUCGUAAAACCCUGUUACUAGGGAUGAACAAAUGUGGAAGGAACCAUGGCGGUCUUGACGGUACCGAAUCAGAAAGCACCGGCUAACUACGUG
rnacentral:rRNA from 1 species